rnacentral:rRNA from 1 species
UACGUAGGGUGCAAGCGUUGUCCGGAAUUACUGGGCGUAAAGCGCACGUAGGUGGUUUGCUAAGCCAGCUGUGAAAUCCCCGGGCUCAACCUGGGCACUGCAGUUGGAACUGGCAAGCUAGAGUAGGGUAGAGGGGUGUGGAAUUCCUGGUGUAGCGGUGAAAUGCGCAGAUAUCAGGAGGAACACCGGUGGCGAAGGCGGGACUCUGGGCCGAUACUGACGCUGAGGAGCGAAAGCGUGGGGAGCAAACAGG